UGGAGACAGGCAAGAAAAGAGACAAGGAAGGCAGCUGGAAUUCUCUUUGACCAGCCUAGAGGCGAGGAAAGAAGCAGAAGCAGAGGUAGAAAAGGGAAAUGGAAACCUUACCCAACAUCAAGAAGCUGUGAAAUGACAGAGAUAUUCUUAUCCAAAAAUCAAAGGGCAGAAGAUAGGAGACGUGACCAGGAAAAACUAUUACCAAGAAAUAUGUUCUCAGUGUCAGAACUCAAUGGGCAUGUAGAUUGGAUGGACCAAUGAUGGGCCAACAGGC
rnacentral:lncRNA from 1 species